GACGAACGCUGGCGGCGUGCUUAACACAUGCAAGUCGAACGGAAAGGCCCUGCUUGCAGGGUACUCGAGUGGCGAACGGGUGAGUAACACGUGGGUGAUCUGCCCUGCACUUCGGGAUAAGCCUGGGAAACUGGGUCUAAUACCGGAUAGGAGCCAUUUUUAGUGUGAUGGUUGGAAAGUUUUUUCGGUGUAGGAUGAGCUCGCGGCCUAUCAGCUUGUUGGUGGGGUAAUGGCCUACCAAGGCGGCGACGGGUAGCCGGCCUGAGAGGGUGGACGGCCACAGUGGGACUGAGAUACGGCCCAGACUCCUACGGGAGGCAGCAGUGGGGAAUAUUGCACAAGGGGCGCAAGCCUGAUGCAGCGACGCCGCGUGGGGGAUGACGGCCUUCGGGUUGUAAACUCCUUUCGCUAGGGACGAAGCUUUUUGUGACGGUACCUAGAUAAGAAGCACCGGCUAACUACGUG
rnacentral:rRNA from 1 species